rnacentral:rRNA from 2 species
GAAUGCUGACAUAAGUAACGAUAAAGCGGGUGAAAAGCCCGCUCGCCGGAAGACCAAGGGUUCCUGUCCAACGUUAAUCGGGGCAGGGUGAGUCGACCCCUAAGGCGAGGCCGAAAGGCGUAGUCGAUGGGAAACGGGUUAAUAUUCCCGUACUUGGUGUUACUGCGAAGGGGGGACGGAGAAGGCUAUGUUGGCCGGGCGACGGUUGUCCCGGUUUAAGCGUGUAGGUGUGUGUUCCAGGUAAAUCCGGUUCACUUUAACACUGAGGCGUGAUGACGAGGCACUACGGUGCUGAAGUAACAAAUGCCCUGCUUCCAGGAAAAGCCUCUAAGCAUCAGGUAACAUCAAAUCGUACCCCAAACCGACACAGGUGGUCAGGUAGAGAAUACCAAGGCGCUUGAGAGAACUCGGGUGAAGGAACUAGGCAAAAUGGUGCCGUAACUUCGGGAGAAGGCACGCUGACACGUAGGUGAAGUGAUUUACUCACGGAGCUGAAGUCAGUCGAAGAUACCAGCUGGCUGCAACUGUUUAUUAAAAACACAGCACUGUGCAAACACGAAAGUGGACGUAUACGGUGUGACGCCUGCCCGGUGCCGGAAGGUUAAUUGAUGGGGUCAGCGCAAGCGAAGCUCCUGAUCGAAGCCCCGGUAAACGGCGGCCGUAACUAUAACGGUCCUAAGGUAGCGAAAUUCCUUGUCGGGUAAGUUCCGACCUGCACGAAUGGCGUAAUGAUGGCCAGGCUGUCUCCACCCGAGACUCAGUGAAAUUGAACUCGCUGUGAAGAUGCAGUGUACCCGCGGCAAGACGGAAAGACCCCGUGAACCUUUACUAUAGCUUGACACUGAACAUUGAGCCUUGAUGUGUAGGAUAGGUGGGAGGCUUUGAAGUGUGGACGCCAGUCUGCAUGGAGCCGACCUUGAAAUACCACCCUUUAAUGUUUGAUGUUCUAACGUGGACCCGUUACCCGGGUUGCGGACAGUGUCUGGUGGGUAGUUUGACUGGGGCGGUCUCCUCCUAAAGAGUAACGGAGGAGCACGAAGGUUGGCUAAUCCUGGUCGGACAUCAGGAGGUUAGUGCAAUGGCAUAAGCCAGCUUGACUGCGAGCGUGACGGCGCGAGCAGGUGCGAAAGCAGGUCAUAGUGAUCCGGUGGUUCUGAAUGGAAGGGCCAUCGCUCAACGGAUAAAAGGUACUCCGGGGAUAACAGGCUGAUACCGCCCAAGAGUUCAUAUCGACGGCGGUGUUUGGCACCUCGAUGUCGGCUCAUCACAUCCUGGGGCUGAAGUAGGUCCCAAGGGUAUGGCUGUUCGCCAUUUAAAGUGGUACGCGAGCUGGGUUUAGAACGUCGUGAGACAGUUCGGUCCCUAUCUGCCGUGGGCGCUGGAGAACUGAGGGGGGCUGCUCCUAGUACGAGAGGACCGGAGUGGACGCAUCACUGGUGUUCGGGUUGUCAUGCCAAUGGCACUGCCCGGUAGCUAAAUGCGGAAGAGAUAAGUGCUGAAAGCAUCUAAGCACGAAACUUGCCCCGA